ensembl:snoRNA snoRNA:Psi28S-2263 snoRNA:Psi28S-2263
AUGUACUCAAAGUAGUUAGAUUAAUUUGAAUUAAAAUAUCUACUCACACCUUGUACAUAACUUUUGUAAACGAUUAUUGGAUGCUGGCGUGUGUCAGAGAACUUUAAUAACUCAAUCGCAUCACUCCAUAAAGAAUCGUACAUAU